AUGAGUGCCCUGCUAUAUAAACCGUGGACACAGACUUCAGCCUCAGCGACCGAUCGUCGACAGAUCACAAGGUUGUUCAUAAUGGUCCGUCACCUAGUUGUUGGCCUCUUGCUUGUUUUCCUUGUGGCGGAAAUUUCCGCCUCCGGGUACUAUCCUAAGGGAAAGCCUGGAUACGGAGUAGGCAAGCCGGGAUAUCAUCCAAGAAAACCAGAGGACAAUGGCGGUGGGAAAGAGGAAGAAAACGGUGAAAAUGGAAAGAAUGGAAAAGAUGAUGAGAAUGGAAACAACGGGAAAGGAGGUGACGGAAAAGAGAAUGGCGACAAUGGCGGAGACAAUGAAGUCAACAAUGGCGGCGACGAAGGCGUUGACAAAUAUGCCUAUGGUGGCGGAUAUGGCGGUGGAUAUCGAUAUGGCCGAGUUGGAAAAGGUAGAGGAUAUGGCGUCAGUGGAAAAGGAAGAAAACGACGUAAAUACCGAAAAGGAAGCGACAGUGGUAAGAAGAGCAGCGAGAGCAAGGAAAGCGGCGGGAAAAGCGCGGGGAGCCGUGAAAAGAACGACAAAAAUGGCAAGGAUAAUGGAAAAAACGGUAAUAAUGGAAAGGAAAACGACAAAAAGGGAACAAGAUACGGGAAGAAACCUUAUACCGGGUACAAGAAAUCUUACAGACCAUGGAACAAAAAGUACUACCCCAAACGCUACUAGACCAA
rnacentral:sRNA from 1 species